CACUCAGCAGUCACGUUUAGGAGCGGAGGAAGUCCGAGUCGCCCCGUCAGUCUCUGCACUUGUUGUUAUGUCCCGGCUCAGCUCGUCUUCUUACACUUUUCCACUCUGGACUUUAAUCUUGUGCUCGGCUUUCUUAAUCACACCUGUUCAAGGUGAGGUUGUGGUGAUUGGGUCAAAUCUUCCAAUCAUUGCUUCUCCGGGUGAUGAUGUCAUCCUGCCGUGUCACCUGGCGCCCACGUUCGAUGUCCAGGGUCUGACGGUGGAGUGGUCCAAACCCGACCUGAAGCCCGACCCGUCGGACCGGCUGAGCCGAGUGGAGUACGUUCACCUGUACAGGGACAGGCAGGAGGUCCCCGACAUGAAGAUGGCCUCGUACUUCAGGAGGACGGAGCUGUUCAUGGACGACAUGAAACACGGGAACAUUUCACUGAAGAUCCUGAACGUGUCGGAGGAAGACAACGGCAGAUACAGAUGUUUCAUCCCCAAGCUGCGGAGCAGAGUGAAAGCUGCUGUUGUUGAACUUGUAGUCGAUCCAAAUGUUGCAAAAACCUCAACAAUGGCACCACUACAUCCCAGAAACUUCCCAACUCCAGAUCAUCAGGACACGACUCCAACAAAUGGUGAGAACACAGUCCAACUCUUCCCUGCAUCAUCCCUGUUUGGGGUUUUGUGUAUUUGUGGUGACCUUCUUGUCUUUUCUACAUCAGCAGCUCGAUCCAGGGUCGCUGUGGUCAUGGCUGUCGUCACCUUAUUAUUAGUUUUGGCUCUCGCUGGUUUUGCUGCAUAUUUCUCCAGACACAUUUUUCACCAGACACUAAAAAAGCAUCCAGAGGAUGAUGAUACAGAAAAACAACCACUACCAGUCUAGCUGCUUGCUCAAAGGAAUAAAUGGACUAGUUCUUCUAUACUGCUUUUCUACGCUGGUUUAGCAAAGAACACACUUUGAACUUUGACCCCAGCUGAAGACUCGAGCCUCGUCCAGUUUAUUUAUCGAGCUCAUUUUCACACAAAGAAAAUGUUGUAAAAGAAAUGAUCAUCAUCACUGUUCUGGACUGAAGUGAAUUAUUCCCAAACAGCAGGACUGGAAGGAUUUCACAGCAUUAAAGGAAAUUUCCAUGAACGUUUGUGACACAGCUCAGGUGGAAAGAUGGAAAUAAACCCUCAUCUGAAAACUGUGUGGGAGACACAGAAGUUACAAAAACAGGUUAUAAGCUGAUUACUUUACUGCACUGUGUUAAUGACCUGCUGUGAAUGAUGUUUAAUGCAGCUGUAAUUUAAACAGAGUCACUUAUUGUGAUGCUGAAAGUGUUUAUUUAUGAAAGCUAGUUUUAUAUGACAGGACUGUGAGCACCUUAUACAAGGUGAUUGAAACUUCAGAUAUUUAUUGGUCUUCAUUUUUAAAGCCACAGUUAAUUUAUUAAAUGUAAUUGAAACUUCCUGCUGGUCAGGACUUGAUGUUCAGACUGUUUCUAGUUAUUUAUUUAAAGAAGCAGUUUGAUCCUGAUGCAGAGCUCAAGCUUAACUUCCUCUUUUUGUCAUUUAAAGCUACAAACUUUGUGCAGACUGACAGAAAUCCUCCUGACUGUAGUUUCUGCUGCAGUUACGGAGCAAAAAUCAGAGGAUGUUUGUGUCCAACUCUUCUUUAUUCCUGCUCUGUAACAUGACAGAGCUCCUUUGGUUCACAGUUAAACAGAUGUGUUUGCAGCUGUUAGCCAGCUCAGGAUCUUUAUUUUGUUAUUUUUAUAUUUUAUUUUUUUAUUACCUCAGAUAUUUAUUUAUAAUAAUAUUUAUAUUUAAG